GGUGCUGUGGUUUAGUGGGUUAAAACCCCAGCCUGCAGUGCUGGCAUCCCAUAUGGGCACCGGUUUGAGUCCCGGCUGCUCUA
rnacentral:tRNA from 1 species